UACGUAGGGUGCGAGCGUUGUCCGGAAUUACUGGGCGUAAAGAGUUCGUAGGCGGUUUGUCGCGUCGUUUGUGAAAACCCGGAGCUCAACUCCGGGCCUGCAGUCGAUACGGGCAAACUGGAGUGUUGCAGGGGAGACUGGAAUUCCUGGUGUAGCGGUGAAAUGCGCAGAUAUCAGGAGGAACACCGGUGGCGAAGGCGGGUCUCUGGGCAACAACUGACGCUGAGGAGCGAAAGCGUGGGGAGCGAACAGG
rnacentral:rRNA from 1 species